rnacentral:lncRNA from 1 species
GAGCCACGGAUAAGCUUGGUGCUAUCUCUUCUUCUUAGUUUUUUUGUUUCUUUUGUGUUAGUGUUGAUUCUAGUGAAAAAAAUCGAUUUAAUGAAUUAAUGUUUGAUUUAUGAAGUUAUUUAUGGAUCACUAUUUAUCAAUUGUUGUGAAAGAUUGAGGAUGUAUGGAAGUUUCCAGUCACUGUUUAUCGCAAGGUUGUAAGUUCAGUGGAGAGGAAUUGUAAUUGAAGAAAUUGUCUUGAUCAGAUUCUGUGGAUUGGAAGUUGUUCGUUCCAGAGUUUGGGAUAUGCUUGUGUGUUUG